rnacentral:snoRNA from 12 species
GGAUCGAUGAUGACUCCCUCAAUCUGCAUUCCUGGAAAAGCUGAACAAAAUGAGUGAGAACUCCCUGCCGUCGUUCUCAUCGCAACUGAGGUCC